ACGGGAGGCAGCAGUGGGGAAUCUUGCGCAAUGGCCGAAAGGCUGACGCAGCGACGCCGCGUGUGGGAGGACGCCUUUCGGGGUGUAAACCACUGUUGCCCGGGACGAACAGCCCUUUUCGAGGGGUCUGACGGUACCGGGUGAGGAAGCACCGGCUAACUCCGUGCCAGCAGCCGCGGUAAUACGGAGGGUGCGAGCGUUGUCCAGAAUCAUUGGGCGUAAAGGGCGCGUAGGUGGCACGAUCAGCGUGCGGUGAAAGCUCGGGGCUCAACCCCGAGUCGGCCGUGCGAACUGUCGAGCUGGAGCACUGUAGAGGCAGGCGGAAUUCCGGGUGUAGCGGUGGAAUGCGUAGAGAUCCGGAAGAACACCGGUGGCGAAGGCGGCCUGCUGGGCAGUUGCUGACACUGAGGCGCGACAGCGUGGGGAGCAAACAGAAUUAGAUACCCUGGUAGUCCACGCCGUAAACGAUGGGCACUAGGCGCUUGGGGGAGCGACCCCCCGAGGGCCGGCGCUAACGCAUUAAGUGCCCCGCCUGGGGAGU
rnacentral:rRNA from 1 species